GUCUGGCCCCAGACCACUCCCUUGCACGUGAUCUGACAUGUGCCAGGGAGAGGGUCUGGCAUUUAGAGUCACUUUUCUUGGUUCAGAUGUCAAAAUUUGACAUCUCCAAUCAGAUUAGCAAGAAUGCAAUUAAACUGUCACAUGAUUCCACUUCACAGAGGAGGUUGAUAGUACUUGACCUUUGUCAUUUUUAAAACUAUGCCAGUAGGCAAUGGCUAACUUAAAUUCCUGUAUACAUCAACUAAAAAUGUUAUUUCAAGUACAGAGAAUCUUUCAAAUCUCACUAAAUCUGUAUAGGAGUAGAGAUAAUAGCCAGCCAGUUUUAGCAUCGUCACCACGCCCAUUUCCGACACGCCCACUUUUGACUGUCUGAAAACCAAGAAAAGUGACUCCAGACUCUCUCCCCGGGAGGAGUCUGGCCUCGAGACUAGCCCAACCCUACGCAGUUGGUUGGACUCCGCCCAACUAGGGCAGGGUCAUAUAGCCUCGAAUCAUGCUCGAAUCCAGGCCGAUUAAAUACGUAUUUUAAUCGGCCUGGUCUCGAGGCUAGGUCACAGACCACUCCUCUGAGGCCAGACUCCUCCCCUCCAUCAGAUCAUGUGUGCCAGAGAAGAAGCCAUGCAGAGGAAGCCACGUGUGCUCAUGGACUCUGGACUCGAGAGUAUAUACAAGUAUGUCUUCCAAACCUGUUACAGGCAAGCAGUCAGGUACACAACCUAAGGGAAAAUGGAGAAAGUUUGUGGACUUAACAAAGUUUCUAUACAGCAAUGACUUCACCAGGGGUAUUGGUCGCGAUAUUUUGAUGUUCAGCACAUCUGUUGUGGUGAUCCGUGUAGUGAUGAGUGCUCUAGUAGAGGAAAUCCCCCCUGCAGCUGCUCCAAGUGUGAUGGGAAGAUAAAAUACAGGAGCGCUCACUAACAUACUAAUAUCAUUAUUGUGAUUUGAUAAUUAUGUACCUAACAUAAUAAUUAUAGCUGUACACAUGCAUAAUUAUAUCUUUCUAAUCGCUUCUGGGUUCAUUAAUCAAAUCAUUAGCACUCUGAAUCAUAAAAGUGUCCUGGCAAUAUCUAAAAGGGUAUCUGCUGCAAUUGAGUUCUGUUCAUAUACAUUGGUUCCUGUUUCACAGCACAUCACCAGAACCUGUUAAAAAAUGUUUUAUUGAUGUUA